GACGGAGGAUGCAAGUGUUAUCCGGAAUCACUGGGCGUAAAGCGUCUGUAGGUGGUUUAAUAAGUCAACUGUUAAAUCUUGAGGCUCAACCUCAAAAUCGCAGUCGAAACUAUUAGGCUAGAGUAUAGUAGGGGUAAAGGGAAGUUUCCAGUGGAGCGGUGAAAUGACGUAGAGAUUGGAAAGAACACCGAUGGCGAAGGCAAUCCCCUGGACCUGUACUGACGCUCAUGCACGAAAGCGUGGGGAGCAAACAGG
rnacentral:rRNA from 1 species